AGCGAACGCUGGCGGCAGGCCUAACACAUGCAAGUCGAACGAACUCUUCGGAGUUAGUGGCGGACGGGUGAGUAACACGUGGGAACGUGCCUUUUGGUUCGGAAUAACUCAGGGAAACUUGUGCUAAUACCGAAUGUGCCCUUCGGGGGAAAGAUUUAUCGCCAUUAGAGCGGCCCGCGUCUGAUUAGCUAGUUGGUGAGGUAACGGCUCACCAAGGCGACGAUCAGUAGCUGGUCUGAGAGGAUGACCAGCCACACUGGGACUGAGACACGGCCCAGACUCCUACGGGAGGAAGCAGUGGGGAAUCUUGCGCAAUGGGAGAAAGCCUGACGAAGCCAUGCCGCGUGAAUGAUGAAGGUCUUAGGAUUGUAAAAUUCUUUCACCGGGGACGAUAAUGACGGUACCCGGAGAAGAAGCCCCGGCUAACUUCGUG
rnacentral:rRNA from 1 species